rnacentral:rRNA from 1 species
ACNUGNCNGCNGUCGACGAUUCCUACGGGAGGCAGCAGUGGGGAAUCUUGCACAAUGCGCGAAAGCGUGAUGCAGCAACGCCGCGUGGGGGAAGAAGGCCUUCGGGUUGUAAACCCCUUUCAGUUGGGACGAAGCUUCGCCGGUUAAUAGCCGGCUGGAGUGACGGUACCUUCAGAAGAAGCCCCGGCUAACUACGUGCCAGCAGCCGCGGUAAUACGUAGGGGGCUAGCGUUGUCCGGAAUCAUUGGGCGUAAAGCGCGUGUAGGCGGCCCGGUAAGUCCGCUGUGAAAGUCGGGGGCUCAACCCUCGAAUGCCGGUGGAUACUGUCGGGCUCGAGUACGGAAGAGGCGAGUGGAAUUCCUGGUGUAGCGGUGAAAUGCGCAGAUAUCAGGAGGAACACCAAUUGCGAAGGCAGCUCGCUGGGACGUUACUGACGCUGAGACGCGAAAGCGUGGGGAGCAAACAGGAUUAGAUACCCUGGUAGUCCACGCUGUAAACGAUGGGCACUAGGUGUGGGGGGUGUCGACUCCCUCCGUGCCGAAGCUAACGCAUUAAGUGCCCCGCCUGGGGAGUACGGCCGCAAGGCUAAAACUCAAAGGAAUUGACGG